rnacentral:rRNA from 1 species
GACGAACGCUGGCGGCGUGCUUAACACAUGCAAGUCGAACGGAAAGGCCCUUCGGGGUACUCGAGUGGCGAACGGGUGAGUAACACGUGGGUGAUCUGCCCUGCACUUUGGGAUAAGCCUGGGAAACUGGGUCUAAUACCGAAUAGGACCACGCGCUUCAUGGUGUGUGGUGGAAAGCUUUUGCGGUGUGGGAUGGGCCCGCGGCCUAUCAGCUUGUUGGUGGAGUAAUGGCCUACCAAGGCGACGACGGGUAGCCGGCCUGAGAGGGUGACCGGCCACACUGGGACUGAGAUACGGCCCAGACUCCUACGGGAGGCAGCAGUGGGGAAUAUUGCACAAUGGGCGCAAGCCUGAUGCAGCGACGCCGCGUGAGGGAUGACGGCCUUCGGGUUGUAAACCUCUUUCAAUAGGGACGAAGCGCAAGUGACGGUACCUAUAGAAGAAGCGCCGGCCAACUACGUGCCAGCAGCCGCGGUAAUACGUAGGGUGCGAGCGUUGUCCGGAAUUACUGGGCGUAAAGAGCUCGUAGGUGGUUUGUCGCGUUGUUCGUGAAAACUCACAGCUUAACUGUGGGCGUGCGGGCGAUACGGGCAGACUAGAGUACUGCAGGGGAGACUGGAAUUCCUGGUGUAGCGGUGGAAUGCGCAGAUAUCAGGAGGAACACCGGUGGCGAAGGCGGGUCUCUGGGCAGUAACUGACGCUGAGGAGCGAAAGCGUGGGGAGCGAACAGGAUUAGAUACCCUGGUAGUCCACGCCGUAAACGGUGGGUACUAGGUGUGGGUUCCUUCCUUGGGAUCCGUGCCGUAGCUAACGCAUUAAGUACCCCGCCUGGGGAGUACGGCCGCAAGGCUAAAACUCAAAGGAAUUGACGGGGGCCCGCACAAGCGGCGGAGCAUGUGGAUUAAUUCGAUGCAACGCGAAGAACCUUACCUGGGUUUGACAUGCACAGGACGCCGGCAGAGAUGUCGGUUCCCUUGUGGCCUGUGUGCAGGUGGUGCAUGGCUGUCGUCAGCUCGUGUCGUGAGAUGUUGGGUUAAGUCCCGCAACGAGCGCAACCCUUGUCCUAUGUUGCCAGCGGGUUAUGCCGGGGACUCGUAGGAGACUGCCGGGGUCAACUCGGAGGAAGGUGGGGAUGACGUCAAGUCAUCAUGCCCCUUAUGUCCAGGGCUUCACACAUGCUACAAUGGCCGGUACAAAGGGCUGCGAUGCCGUGAGGUGGAGCGAAUCCUUUCAAAGCCGGUCUCAGUUCGGAUCGGGGUCUGCAAUUCGACCCCGUGAAGUCGGAGUCGCUAGUAAUCGCAGAUCAGCAACGCUGCGGUGAAUACGUUCCCGGGCCU